CGGGAGCGCCUCCAGGUGCGCGCUCGUAUCUGCCUUCGGGGCCUGGAGGGCAGUCUGGGUGGCGUGCGCCAACUCCGGCCCCCAAGGUGGGCGAGGGACGGGAGAGGACUGGGAGGUAAGGGGCACGGGAGGAAGGCCGCGCUCCUUUUAAAAGUCGUCUCCAAGGGCGGAAUCCUCCUUUCUUACCAGCGGGGUUGGGGCGGAGGGAGCUUCACCCCACCCAGGCCCACAGCUCGGGGUCUCAGGCCCCGGGGGCAGCGCCGCGGACUGGGACCCGCCCGAGAGCAGAGGCAGCGGGGAGUUAGGAGGUGGGUGAGUCGGCGUCAGAGACCCAGGUCCCCAUCAGCGGAACCAGUGGAAGAUUCCCAGCCUUGGGCGAGUGUCACAGACCCACUCCUGGACCAACUGGAGAACUCCGCCUUCCCUUGAUCGCCCUGUGGACACCGUCUUUCAAUCCAGGCGCAGGCUGCCUUUCUGAAGUUCCUUUUUCACUUUGCUACAGACUUGUGGACCUGGAUUAUUAAUGCGCACCUAUUCAGGAUUUUGUGAGAAUCUUGCCUCCCUAGAGCCAAAGAGCUUCACAUGUAAUUUCCCCCUUCAUUUUAGCAUCUAGGAGAAUAGUAAAAUAGGAAAUUUCUUCUAUAGUGGGGACGAGCUCAAUGCCAGGCAUCUAACAAAUAUGCUUAACAGGUGCCUGUGGGGUUGAACUGGACUGACAGGUUGCUCAGUGGAGCUAGGGCAGGCGUUAUGCAUAUUCCGGAUUCCUACUGGGCUUCCAGGAUGCAUGGCUUAUGGGCUAGAGGUGAAGCUGAGCUGAAAAUCAGAAACUUUCACUCAUUCAUUCACUUUUCCAACACAUAUUUAUUGACCGUAAAUAAAUGUGAAAGCACUA